rnacentral:rRNA from 1 species
UACGAAGGGGGCUAGCGUUGCUCGGAAUCACUGGGCGUAAAGGGUGCGUAGGCGGGUCUUUUAAGUCAGGGGUGAAAUCCUGGAGCUCAACUCCAGAACUGCCUUUGAUACUGAGGAUCUUGAGUACGGGAGAGGUGAGUGGAACUGCGAGUGUAGAGGUGAAAUUCGUAGAUAUUCGCAAGAACACCAGUGGCGAAGGCGGCUCACUGGCCCGUUACUGACGCUGAGGCACGAAAGCGUGGGGAGCAAACAGG